GGUCGGUUAGCUCAGUUGGUUAGAGCGUCGUAUGUUUUUCUCACCUUCUCAAUUCAUACUUAACUAUUACUAACCCGUUAUAGGUACUAAUAAUGCGAAUGUCAUGAGUUCGACCCUCAUACUGACCA
rnacentral:tRNA from 1 species